GACGAACGCUGGCGGCGUGCUUAACACAUGCAAGUCGAACGGAAAGGCCCUGCUUUUGUGGGGUGCUCGAGUGGCGAACGGGUGAGUAACACGUGAGUAACCUGCCCUUGACUUUGGGAUAACUUCAGGAAACUGGGGCUAAUACCGGAUAGGAUCUCCUGCUGCAUGGUGGGGGUUGGAAAGUUUCGGCGGUUGGGGAUGGACUCGCGGCUUAUCAGCUUGUUGGUGGGGUAGUGGCUUACCAAGGCUUUGACGGGUAGCCGGCCUGAGAGGGUGACCGGCCACAUUGGGACUGAGAUACGGCCCAGACUCCUACGGGCGGCAGCAGUGGGGAAUAUUGCACAAUGGGCGGAAGCCUGAUGCAGCAACGCCGCGUGCGGGAUGACGGGCUUCGGGUUGUAAACCGCUUUCGCCUGUGACGAAGCGUGAGUGACGGUAAUGGGUAAAGAAGCACCGGCUAACUACGUG
rnacentral:rRNA from 1 species